CGGGAAUUUUGGGCAAUGGGCGAAAGCCUGACCCAGCAACGCCGCGUGAGGGAUGAAGUAUUUCGGUAUGUAAACCUCGAAAGAAUGGGAAGAAUAAAUGACGGUACCAUUUAUAAGCUCCGGCUAACUACGUGCCAGCAGCCGCGGUAAUACGUAGGGAGCAAGCGUUGUUCGGAUUUACUGGGCGUAAAGGGCGCGUAGACGGCGCGGUAAGUCACUUGUGAAAUCUCUGAGCUUAACUCAGAACGGCCAAGUGAUACUGCUGUGCUAGAGUGCGGAAGAGGCAACCGGAAUUCUUGGUGUAGCGGUGAAAUGCGUAGAUAUCAAGAGGAACACCUGAGGCGAAGGCGGGUUGCUGGGCCGACACUGACGCUGAUGCGCGAAAGCCAGGGGAGCAAAC
rnacentral:rRNA from 1 species